GAUGAACGCUCGCUACAGGCUUAACACAUGCAAGUCGAGGGGAAACGGCAUUGAGUGCUUGCACUCUUUGGACGUCGACCGGCGCACGGGUGAGUAACGCGUAUCCAACCUUCCCAUUACUGUGAGAUAACCUGCCGAAAGGCAGACUAAUACCGCAUAGUCUUCGAUGACGGCAUCAGAUUUGCAGUAAAGAUUUAUCGGUAAUGGAUGGGGAUGCGUCUGAUUAGCUUGUUGGCGGGGUAACGGCCCACCAAGGCGACGAUCAGUAGGGGUUCUGAGAGGAAGGUCCCCCACAUUGGAACUGAGACACGGUCCAAACUCCUACGGGAGGCAGCAGUGAGGAAUAUUGGUCAAUGGACGGAAGUCUGAACCAGCCAAGUAGCGUGCAGGAUGACGGCCCUAUGGGUUGUAAACUGCUUUUGUAUGGGGAUAAAGUUAGGGACGUGUCCCUAUUUGCAGGUACCAUACGAAUAAGGACCGGCUAAUUCCGUG
rnacentral:rRNA from 1 species